GACGAACACGGUGAUGGAUCCCGCCGGAGCAUCUGCUCGAACCGCCACACGGCUGAUGGUUCCUACCCAUGU
rnacentral:ncRNA from 2 species